GAGGAGCACCUCGUUCGGUGCGCGGCAGCGGGGAGGGCGCCGCUGCGGGUGGCGGUGCUGCUGAGCGGCGGGGUCGACAGCAGCGUCGCGCUCCGCCUCCUCCACGCAGCCGGGCACAGCUGCACUGCCUUCUGCCUCAAGAUCUGGUUCCAGGAAGAUUUCAGGAACUUUUGGUCCGAGUGCCCGUGGGAUGACGAUUUGAAGUAUGCACAGGCUGUGUGUGACAAGAUUGACGUGCCAUUGGAGGUGGUACAUCUAUCUGAUGAGUACUGGAACCAUGUGGUGUCUCAUAUGAUUAAUGAGUACCGCAACGGGCGCACACCGAACCCUGGUGUUCUUUGCAACACAAGAAUAAAGUUUGGAGCUUUCUUAGAAGCAAUUGAAAAUUUGGGAUUUGAUUACAUAGCUUCAGGACAUUAUGCACAUGUAGUCCAUCCACACGUUGAGAACGCUAAAGAGCCAUCGGUGCUCCAACUUUUGAAAGGAAUAAUAGAACUCAAUUGACAUUUCCUCUCACAUCUCUCUCAGCCCCAGCUUAAAAGGCUUCUUUUUCCACUAGGGUGUAUAACAAAGGAUGAAGUUUGCAGUCUGGCUGUUCAGAUGGACCUUCCUAACCAAGCUAGAAAGGAUUCUCAGGGGAUAUGUUUUCUUGGAAAGGUCAAAUUCAGUGAGUUUGUUCAAAGACAUAUAGGAGAAAUGGAGGGUAUACUUCUUGAGGCUGAAACUGGAGAUUACCUAGGGAUGCACCGUGGGUUUUGGUUCUAUACGAUUGGUCAGCGACAAGGUUUGCGACUUUCUGGAGGACCUUGGUAUGUUGUGGAGAAAGAUGUGCAAAAUAAUGUGGUUUUUGUAUUAAGGAAUUACUAUUCGCUGGAUAAGAGGAGGCGAACAUUUCGUGUUAGAUCGCUGAACUGGUUUAGCGAUUCUGGGCCAGCGAUUACUGCGCGCCGCCACGAACGCCGCGACGAGGAAAUCUUUUAG
rnacentral:rRNA from 1 species